GAAAAUUAAAGUGUAGACAUUUAUUCGCAGAUAGAGAAAGUAGUAAUGAAUUAGUACUACCUAUGUCUCCAAAAAAUAGUCAUACUUAAUUUCAUUUUAAUCUCUAUCAAUUUACAGUAAAAUUCAAUUUCACUCUUAUUUUAUCAAUUUUGCAUUAAGAUUCAAGAUGUUCAAUCAAAAUUACUUUUGGUGGACGGAGGUAAUAUUAGGUCCAGAAGUCUCCACAAAUUUGUAAAAAAAUUUAUUUCUGAGAUAGCAAAAUUUGGUAUCAAUGUAAUCAUGACUUAAAUGAAGAAAGAGGUUUUCAUAUAUGUAUUACUGCAAUAUUCAUAUACUCCAGAAAAUAAAUAGGCACUCAAAAUAAGUAAAUGCUCGAGCAUCAUUAAUCAACUCACCAUUUCGCGGGGCUAGUAGGACUUGGGUCUCUUUCUUAGGCGGAGAAUCAAGUACAUGUAUCUUUACCGAGUAACUAAUUUCUCUUUCAUAUUUUGGUAAAAUCAACUCUUUUAAUCUCUUCCAACUUUAAUAUCUUUUUCCACCUUUGUUUUCAAUUAUCCACUUUUUUCUCUCUACUACUUACAUAAAAUUGCAAAAAAAAGGUCAAUUCAUCAGUUUGCAUAACGUGGUACAAAAAGAGAAAAAUGAAAACUAUUGUAAAUAGAGACAAUUCUGUAUUCAUAUAAAAUUAGCAUAAAUUUGGCAUGACAAUUGACAACUCUUCAACCACAAACUAACCAAAUUUAUUUAUAAAAUUAAAACACAGCACACAAACAACUAAUUACUAAUCCGAGUAUAAUGAUAUAUAGAGAGAGAGAGAAAUUAUUUUGAAGCAUGCAUAGAGAUAUAUAGUGAAGUGAAAUCAAUAGUAAAACUUGAAUCCCAUAUUAGUCUCGGCAAAAUCCAAGAGCAAAUCGAUCUCUUGCUCAUCAAUAAAGCCGCUGCCGUCGACGUCGGCUUCACCGAGGCCUCGGGUGCUUUUCCAGCCGCUGAACCAGCCACCGCAGUUGCGGAUGGCCUGCCGGAGCUCCUUUUGGCUGAUCCGCCCGUCUCGGUCCGCGUCGAAUUUCAUCAGCCAGCCCUUGAACUCCUCCACCGUCAUCUGGUACUUGCCGCCGCUAGGCACGCUCCGAGCGGUGUCGCCGCCUGUUAUCGCCAUCGGAAAAUAGGAUGUGAGUAAAUAUGGUAACAAUAUUGGUUAGUUGAUGAAUAUGAAUAAUGAAUAUGAUACGAAGCAAAUAAAUAGGUGAUGAAAAGAUUGAAAAUAUGCAAAAAUAAAGUGUCACGGAAUCCAAAUCUAAUGCUUUAUUUCUUCUAUUUUAAGUUGGGGUUGGGCCAUGUGGAAUUUAUACUUUGGACUCACAAUCACUAAUUUUUUUAACACCUAAAAUGGCAUCUUCACUAUCAUCAUAUAAUCAUCUUUAUUUUUUGGCACUCGAUUAUUCUUCACUACUAUUUUCUAAUAAGUAUUUAAUAAUGUAUGCAGAGGGUUAUAAUCAAUGUCGAACUAAUCUCUAGUGGCGAACUGUUGAAUCCAUUGUUAGUUUAUUUUAGGUCAUUGUAGAACACUUUUAGUCUGUUUUAGGUCAUUUUAUAAAAUCCAGAUUUGAUAAUACGGAUGUCAUUUUAGAUCAUUUUAGGUCAUGCUUACUAUAAUGACCUAAAAACAAACUAAGAUUUGAUCAUUGUACUCUCUAAAAUGACCGUCAAGUGUGGUUCUUUGAUUCUGCCAUAAGAUUGAGUUUUGCAUAUAUCAUAGUUGAUUUAACCUACCUAAAAUUGAUUUAUACUGAGAGUUAAAUUGGUGAAUUGUCUUUUCAGUUUGAAGGGUAAACAGUUAGCUUUGUAAGUGAUUUAUCUGAUAAUUAAUUGUUUAAUCACUUAAAUUAAUACUCCGUAGUAUUCUAAAAUCUAAAACAUAAUAAGAAAAUAGUUCGAAUAAGGAAAUUUUUGGACUGGCGUCCCAACCUUUCACGAUUGGUAGCUAAUACCUUGUGAAGUUCAUUUUUCUUCUGCAAGAAUUGACUAAGUUACCUAUACAUGCCACUUACAACUAGUCUACUAUGCAUCAGACUUAAACUUGUUUGUUACUUAUGUGUUUAAAUGUAAAUCAAACAUCUUAUAAAUGCAUAAAUAAAAUACACUAACAAAAUAUUCCUUCUCUUUGAAAUGGUAAAAAUGGAUAAAGAGUUUUUAAAUAUACAAACAUUCGAAAGAUGCUAUAUACUACUCCCUCCGUUCCCAAAAAUGGACUACUUUUAUCAUUUUGAGUCGUCCCCUAAUUAGACCAAGUCUAAAUAUAUAAAGUUUUCAAUAGAUAAUAAUCUUAUACAUCAUUUAUAAUAUAAACCCACAGUUCACGAACACUCAUUUCACUACCUUUUCCCUCUCUCUCCCUCCUACUUUUUUUUACAUCUCUUUCUUAGGACUGGAUUGCAUGCAGCUACAUUUCCAGCGAGUUGCUAUGGAGUAUAGCGGCUUCCUAGCGAUUCACUAGGACAAAUCCUUUCAAAAAGGAGAGGACGAAGUGCUCUGGGAAGCGCCAAAGUGAGAGAAAGAGAAGUGAGGGCAUGCAAUGAGCCAAACUAGACUGUUUCAAACAUCAGUCUACCUAUUAAGUUGAAGUGCAAAUAAUCUUCUAAGAUGACCAUUGUCUUCAUCGUCGAAAGAGUUCCGUGUCAGUACCUUGCGCGCCUCAAUUGGAGCCCUGGUAAGGAAGUUAUGGUCAUUCUACGAAAGUUGCGCAGUCAAGUAACGAAGACUCUAGAGAGUUUGCGUGGGCCGACGUUUUGAUGCAUGAAAACGCCCAACCGGGCUUUUUGUGUCCUGGAAGACUAAAAAAAGCAAGAUUUUGAAUUAUUCUGAGCGCCUUUUCAUAUUCCAACCCUAGCUUGAGUGACCUUUCAUCUCCCACCAUCCACGUUCAUAAAUAGUGUCUUUUAUAUCAUUUGUAAUAGAUAGAUUGGGUUUAUAUAAAGAGUGUCUUCUUGAGAGAA